rnacentral:rRNA from 1 species
GACGAACGCUGGCGGCGUGCUUAACACAUGCAAGUCGAACGGAAAGGCCCUGCUUGCAGGGUACUCGAGUGGCGAACGGGUGAGUAACACGUGGGUGAUCUGCCCUGCACUUCGUGAUAAGCCUGGGAAACUGGGUCUAAUACCGGAUAGGAGCCAUUUUUAGUGUGAUGGUUGGAAAGUUUUUUCGGUGUAGGAUGGGCUCGCGGCCUAUCAGCUUGUUGGUGGGGUAAUGGCCUACCAAGGCGGCGACGGGUAGCCGGCCUGAGAGGGUGGACGGCCACAUUGGGACUGAGAUACGGCCCAGACUCCUACGGGAGGCAGCAGUGGGGAAUAUUGCACAAUGGGCGCAAGCCUGAUGCAGCGACGCCGCGUGGGGGAUGACGGCCUUCGGGUUGUAAACUCCUUUCGCUAGGGACGAAGCUUUUUGUGACGGUACCUAGAUAAGAAGCACCGGCUAACUACGUG